GAUGAAGAACGUAGCGAAAUGCGAUAAGUAAUGUGAAUUGCAGAAUUUAGUGAAUCAUCGAAUCUUUGAACGCAUAUUGCGCCCGCCAGCACUCUGGCGGGCAUGCCUGUUCGAGCGUCAUUUCAACCCUCAGGCCUCGCGUCUGGCGUUGGGGCGCUGCGGCCCUCCCGCAGGCCCCCAAAUUUAGCGGCGGAUUCCCCGCGGCCCUGAGCGCAGUAGAGAGUAAAAACUUUAACGCUCCGGCGGCCGUGGCGCGGUUCUGCCUCUUUCCCAAUAGCGCCAAUAGCGCCACCCCCAAAAAAGUUGACCUCGGAUCAGGUAGGAAUACCCGCUGAACUUAAGCAUAUCAAUAAGCGGAGGA
rnacentral:misc_RNA from 1 species